rnacentral:lncRNA from 1 species
AAACUCCAGGACAAACCGUCCAAAACAUGCAAGCACAUACAUUCUACCUGUGUUGCAAACACACAACCCUUGUCUGUUACAAGGAAAGACCACCUCCAUAAGGGGAGAUAAUGAAGAAGGAAGUGAGAGAAGAGGCCAGCCCCACCAGCAAGUAUGAACCGGAAAAGACCGGGUCUCGAAGCCAGAAGACUAGAACUUCCCCAAGGUCACGCAUUCAACGUCUUUCCUUGUUCUAGGAAUCCACCUACGCAGG